CCUACGGGUGGCAGCAGUGGGGAAUAUUGCGCAAUGGGCGAAAGCCUGACGCAGCGACGCCGCGUGAGGGAUGAAGGUCUUCGGAUCGUAAACCUCUGUCAGCAGGGAAGAACGGUCACUGUGCUAAUCAGCAGUGAAUUGACGGUACCUGCAAAGGAAGCACCGGCUAACUCCGUGCCAGCAGCCGCGGUAAUCCGGAGGGUGCGAGCGUUAAUUGGAAUGACUGGGCGUAAAGCGGUCGUAGGCGGUAUGUCAAGUCAAGGGGUAAAUCCCCGCGCUAAACGUGGGAAGUGCCUUUGAAACUGGCAAACUGGAGUGUGUGAGAGGAUAGUGGAAUUCCUGGUGUAGGAGUGAAAUCCGUAGAUAUCUGGCGGAACAUCAGUGGCGAAGGCGACUAUCUGGCACAUAACUGACGCUGAGGAGCGAAAGCGUGGGUAGCAAACAGGAUUAGAUACCCUUGUAGUC
rnacentral:rRNA from 1 species